rnacentral:tRNA from 1 species
GGGCCGGUUGCUCAGUCAGUUGACCGUGGCGCUAACACCGCUAAGGGCGCGGGUUCGAUUCCCGUUCGGUCCC